rnacentral:tRNA from 1 species
UCCCCGGGGGUCUAGUGGUUAGGAUUUGGUGCUUUCACUGCUGUGGCCCAGGUUCAAUCCCUGGUUUGGGAA